UCCCCCAAACUUUCAAGUAGGAUUUACCUAUUAACAAACUCAGGUAAUUUAGCAUUACAAAAAGCAGAGCCCUGAAAAUGCUUAGAUGGGCACUUAUCCCAUAAAAAUGAA
rnacentral:miRNA from 1 species